rnacentral:rRNA from 1 species
GCAUAUCAAUAAGCGGAGGAAAAGAAACCAACAGGGAUUGCCUCAGUAACGGCGAGUGAAGCGGCAACAGCUCAAAUUUGAAAUCUGGCCUCUUUGGGGUCCGAGUUGUAAUUUGUAGAGGAUGUUUCGGGUACCGCCUCGGUUUAAAUUUCUUGGAACAGAAUGUCAAAGAGGGUGAGAAUCCCGUCUUGGACCGGCGGUAGGGCCCAUGUGAAACUCCUUCGACGAGUCGAGUUGUUUGGGAAUGCAGCUCAAAAUGGGUGGUAAAUUUCAUCUAAAGCUAAAUAUUGGCCAGAGACCGAUAGCGCACAAGUAGAGUGAUCGAAAGAUGAAAAGCACUUUGAAAAGAGAGUUAAACAGUAUGUGAAAUUGUUGAAAGGGAAGCGCUUACAACCAGACUUGCGCGCGGCGGUUCCCCCUUCCUUUUGGUUGGGCUACUCCGUCGUGUCCAGGCCAACAUCGGUUCUGGGGGUCGGUUAAAGACCCUGGGAAUGUACCUACCCUUCGGGCGUAGACUUAUAGCCCAGGGUGUCAUGCGACCUCCCGGGACCGAGGAACGCGCUUCGGCUCAAAUGUUGGCGUAAUGGUUGUCACGACCCGUCUUGAAACACGGACC